rnacentral:tRNA from 1 species
GCUCCAGUAGCUUAUCAUUAAAGCAUUGCCCUUGUAAGACAAAGCUGGGUCCACCCCUAGAGCA